GUGAGAUAGAAUUAACGUUUAGACAUGUGAUUUUACGCUGAUUUUAUAUCAUGA
rnacentral:pre_miRNA from 1 species